ensembl:lncRNA
UCAGACACAGGGGGUAUAUUAAUCAUACACAGGGGGUAUAUUAAUCAGAUACAGGGGGUAUAUUAAUCAGACACAGGGGGUAUAUUAAUCAUACACAGGGGGUAUAUUAAUCAGAUACAGGGGGUAUAUUAAUCAGACACAGGGGGUAUAUUAAUCAGAUACAGGGGGUAUAUUAAUCAGAUACAGGGGGUAUAUUAAUCAGACACAGGGGGUAUAUUAAUCAAACACAGGGGGUAUAUUAAUCAGACACAGGGGUAUAUUAAUCAGAUACAGGGGGUAUAUUAAUCAGACACAGGGGGUAUAUUAAUCAGACACAGGGGGUAUAUUAAUCAGACACAGGGGGUAUAUUAAUCAGACACAGAGGUCUCUUUCAGCAGGAUAAGGCUCCCUGACACACUGCAGAAACUGUUCAGGAACGGUUUGAGGAACAUGAUAAAGAGUCGGCCUCCGAAUUCCCCAAUUUAAUCCGAUCUAGCGUCUGUGAGACGUUCUGGACAAACAAGUCUGAUCCACAGAGGCCCCACCUCACAACUUACAGGACUUAAAGGAUCAGCUGUAACGUGUUGGUGUCAGAUCUCACGGCGCACCUUCAGAGCUCUCGUGGAGUCCACGCCUCCACGGGUCCGAGCUGAUCUAAUGAGGACCUGCAGUAUUCGGCGGGUGGUUUUAAUGUUAUGGCUGAUACGUGUGUAUGAAGUAACGUUAUAAUAAUUAAACAUCACGCAGCUCAGUACAUUACAGAGAUAUAACCUCACAGUUUAACACGAUAAUGAAGGGGAAAAGCUGCGCACGCUCACACGUCCAAAUUAUUAGGAACAAGCUCACCUUUUACAUUUCCUACAGUUCCAACCUGCGCCUGUGUUUUCAGCAGAACUGAGCGGGUUCUCCAGGGAACCCGGUGCUAAAGGAUGUAGAGCCAUGUUCCAUACAAACCCGCACACAGACACAAACCUGACUCUCAGCUCACUGCGUACCGGGAACCGUCUCACUGCUGCACACAGUGUCCAGCAAAACUCUGUGUGUGUGUGUGUGUGUGAGAGAGUGUUUCUGUAGGUGUGUGUGUGCGCGUGUGUGUGUUUCUGUAGGUGUGUGUGUGCGCGUGUGUGUAUUUCUGUAGGUGCGUGUGUGUGUGUAUGCGCGUGUGUGUGUGUUUCUGUGUGUGUGUUUCUGUAGGUGUGUGCGUGUGAGUGUGUGUGUGCGCGUGUGUGUGUUUCUGUAGGUGUGUGUGUGUGUGUGUGUGUUUCUGUAGGUGUAGGUGUGUGUGUGUGUAUGCGCAUGUGUGUGUGUUUCUGUAGGUGUAGGUGUGUGUGUGUGUGUGUGUGUGUGUGUGUGUGUGUGUGUAUGUGUGUGUGUGUGUUUCUGUAGGUGUGUGUGUGUGUUUCUGUAGGUGUGUGUGUGCGUGCGCGUGAGUGUGUGUGCGCGCGCGUGUGUGUUUCUGUAGGUGUAGGUGUGUGUGUAUGCGCGUGUGUGUGUGUGUGUGUGUGCGUGUGUGUGUGUGUGUGUGUGUGUGUUUCUGUAGGUGUAGGUGUGUGUGUGUAUGCGCGCGUGUGUGUGUGUGUGUGUGUGU